rnacentral:tRNA from 1 species
UCCCGGAUCGUCUAAUGGUAGGACCGCGGCUUUUGGUGCCGUUUAUAGGGGUUCGAAUCCUCUUCCGGGAGCC